GCUGUGAUGGCUCAGUGGUUAAGAGCACCGGCUGCUCAUCCUGAAGACCUGAGUUCAAUUCCCAGCCCCUACA
rnacentral:tRNA from 1 species